UCCUCUGACCUAGGGAGAUAGAGAGCUUCGAGGAUUCUCCUCCUCCACCCUCCCUUACCACGCCAUUACUCUUGUCCCUUUGUUCACUUCUUUCAUUGUUCUCCGUCUUCUUGUUCAUUGCCGGUGAUUGUGUGCAGAGCAACUCAGCUUGACGACACUGCAGAUUGAAGUUUUGGGUAUUGAGGAGUGAGGAAGAGCUUCAUAACCUGUUUUCCCCUUCUCCUUUACUCCUUGGAGGUACUAGACUCGUACGCAGGCCAAUGCACGUUGAAAGGAGGGAAGGAUAUCUGUGAGCAUUUUACUCUUUGUGGUUUCUAGCCAUGCUUGACUGGUUACUUACCCUCAUAGACACUGUGUCCAGCUUGUUAUUCAUUUUAAUAAAGUCAUGCCAAAAAAUAUAUUUUUAAAGUAUUGUUUUUAAAUUAAUCCUAUUAAACAAGCUAGUUUUCAUGAAGGUAUCUUAUAUAUUUCCUAACUAUUUGAUAUGAGCCUGAUAGUUGGAGAGUAGAAUUUGAUAGUAGUAUUCUCAUCAUAUGAAUAUAUUUUUAGACCAAGUGUUAAAUGUAAUUAUUUGUUUCAGUUAUGCACUCUUCCUAUUUUAAAUGAUUAUUUUGUUAAAUUCAUGCUUAUUUUAUUCAUAUUUCUUUCUUUUACUUCUUUUAGUUUAAAAUUUGGAACGUUACUCAUUAGAAAUAAUAUUUUUGGUCUCAGAUUAUAUAAGCUGAACUUGUGCCUCAAGAUGUUAAUUGAGGCAUUUUAUCACUGAAAUGGAAUGGAAGAAUUAUUUCAAAUGUUUGUUUGAUGUAAAUUUGAACCUAUAAUAAUUUCAUGGUUUGUUCUUAGGUACUCCACAUGUACUAUAGGUAGGACUCUCUUCUUUCUUUUAAGAUUGUACAUCUAGAGAUCCUUUUAUUUUAUUGUUGUUUUUCUCUGUCGUACAUUUUAGGAAAUUUUAUUUACA